rnacentral:misc_RNA from 1 species
AAAGAUUUGAGGAUGACAACAUAUUGAGGUAUGGUCAAGCAUCCCAACACAAAGUGGGAUAUCGUCCCAAGUACAAGAAACUUAAUUGAAGGCAUCCAAACACUUUAUCGUCACUUUGGGUUAAGAACAGAAUCGCCACAUGGGUGGCACAUGCCCACCUAAGUAUAUGAUAGGUUCUAAGUUUAUGGCUCUAUGCUAAAAUCAACUCCCUUUACGAUUAACACAAAAAUUUCAUCAUGCCUUAAAUAAUAAAAAUAAAAAAUAUUAAUAUUUGGGUUUUGCUAUAGGAAUUUUAACACAAACAAACAACAAACCUACUAAUUAAAUAAGCACCAUUCCCUUCACCCAUUAAACAUGUACAAACAAAGAUUUCCCUUAGAAACCUCUAUAAGAACACAUAAUUACAUCAAACAACUGAACAUUUGAAGAAUAAUGUAUACAUUAAUUAUUAAUGGAAUGAAGAAGAUGAAGGAGAACCCAGUUUCCCCCUCUCCUUUUUUGAUGUAGUUUGGUGUUAAAACCCUGUUCAAAGCAGAAUCAACCUACCUCGUCUGGAGCCAUAGUCACAUCACUUUGAACUGCUGCUCCAUUUCCAUGAAUCCUGAUCCCAGCAGCAUCAGUACCAGCUUCCGCACCAUCAGAACUUGCUCCUGGUUGUUCAAGCAAUGAUUGUCUACAAGUUGGGCAAGAGGAAUGUGACUCCAACCAAGUAUCUAUACAUCUUACAUGAAACCCAUGACUACAUCUUGGCAAAACUCUCACUUUGUCACCAUCCAAGAACUCUCCAAGGCAAAUUGCACAGUCUGUGGCUAUUAUGUGAAUCCCUGCAGCCCCAUAAAUGACUACUGGGAUCUGUCUCAAUGCACUCUUUUUAAGCCCAGUUGCUGCUAAACGAGCGGCAGCUUCGUCAGGAGUCUCAUCAAAAGCAAACCUUCUGCUACAUCUUAAGGCACAACGCACUAUUGAGUUUAGUCCAAGUGCACAUAUUAAUGCACAAAGCAGAGCUGCUAAAAUGAUCACCAUGUUUGUGUCAAAAUUGGCCUCGCUAUUGUAGCUGUUGCGGCUUCCGCUUCCAUUUGCUGGUGCUGCUGGUGUACUUGGUUCUGUAUUGAGGAGCAGCCGGUGAGGACGAUGAGGAAGAGUUGCCAUUUCUGCAGAUUAUUUUGAAUUUUACUGGAAUACCCUCUUGGUCUUAUGCAACUGCUUUAGAGCUUCUCUGGUGAACUUAUGCAAAUAAGCUGGAGGUAGACUUCAUUGCUCCAAGACUUCUUGGGAUCAAAUCGAACCACAAAGGGAAAUGAAAGCAAAGAGUUCAUUCCAAUUGUGCUGUACAGGCUUGCAAUGGAGGAUUUUUAUUUAUUUCUUUUUCCUUUUAAAGACGAGAGAAUUGAUGGAUUUUGAUGCUUCAAGAGAGAGAUGAAAAGGGGAAGCAGAAAAGUGUUACCUUUGUGGUUUCUUGCUUUUGGUUGUUGAUGAUCUGCUUUUAAGCAGAGACUGACAGAGAUGAACCUUUUAGUUAUUGGGCAAAAGAACAAGAAAAAAGCAUCCUUCUGAGCACUAAAACAAGGUAAGAGAUUAAACCCAAUUUAAGAAUCAAGAACAUGAAUGAGAUUCUCAGGCUUGUAAUUAAGGUCUCCAACAAGAAGGAUAAUAUGGAUUAAAAGAAGUCUGAGCUGGGUGCUAAUUAUCUGCAAGAAAGAGAUGGGAGAAGGCUUAAUAGUUGUGAAAAGUAUAAUAGCAGAGAGUAGUUAAAAGUGGGUGUAGUCUUUGGAUGUGGGUAAGGACACUGGAAUACAGAUGAGAAAAAUGAUAAAAGAUACCAAAUGAAAGAAAGGUGCUGUCGUUGGUGUCUUUU